GAUGAACGCUGGCGGCGUGCCUAAUACAUGCAAGUCGAGCGAACAGAUAAGGAGCUUGCUCCUUUGACGUUAGCGGCGGACGGGUGAGUAACACGUGGGUAACCUACCUAUAAGACUGGAAUAACUCCGGGAAACCGGGGCUAAUGCCGGAUAACAUUUAGAACCGCAUGGUUCUAAAGUGAAAGAUGGUUUUGCUAUCACUUAUAGAUGGACCCGCGCCGUAUUAGCUAGUUGGUAAGGUAACGGCUUACCAAGGCAACGAUACGUAGCCGACCUGAGAGGGUGAUCGGCCACACUGGAACUGAGACACGGUCCAGACUCCUACGGGAGGCAGCAGUAGGGAAUCUUCCGCAAUGGCCGAAAGCCUGACGGAGCAACGCCGCGUGAGUGAUGAAGGUCUUCGGAUCGUAAAACUCUGUUAUUAGGGAAGAACAAAUGUGUAAGUAACUGUGCACGUCUUGACGGUACCUAAUCAGAAAGCCACGGCUAACUACGUG
rnacentral:rRNA from 1 species